UUUUUGAUAAUAAUUUAAAGUAGGGCCUGCCCACUGAGUAAUUGAAGGGCCGCAGUAUUUUGACUGUGCAAAGGUAGCAUAAUCAUUAGUUUUUUAAUUGAAAGCUGGAAUGAAUGGUUUGAUGAGAAAAUAACUGUCUCAUUUUUAAUUUUUUAGAAUUUUAUUUUUAAGUUAAAAAGCUUAAAUAAAUUUAAAAGACGAGAAGACCCUAUAGAGUUUUAUUUAAAGAAAAAUAUUGAAUUUUAGGAUUUAUUUAUUUAUUUUUUUAUAAAUUUGGUUGGGGUGACUGAAAAAUUAAAUGAACUUUUUCUUUAUUAAUACACUGAUUAGUGAAUAAUUGAUCCAAUUAUUUGAUUAAAAGAUUAAAUUACCUUAGGGAUAACAGCGUAAUUUUUUUUUAGAGUUCUUAUCGAAAAAAGAGAUUGCGACCUCGAUGUUGGAUUAAAAUUUAUUUUUGGUGUAGAAGCUAAAAAAUUAGGUCUGUUCGACCUUUAAAAUUUUACA
rnacentral:rRNA from 1 species